AACGAACGCUGGCGGCAGGCUUAACACAUGCAAGUCGAGCGCCCCGCAAGGGGAGCGGCAGACGGGUGAGUAACGCGUGGGAAUCUACCCAUCUCUACGGAAUAACGCAUGGAAACGUGUGCUAAUACCGUAUACGUCCUUCGGGAGAAAGAUUUAUCGGAGAUGGAUGAGCCCGCGUUGGAUUAGCUAGUUGGUGGGGUAAAGGCCUACCAAGGCGACGAUCCAUAGCUGGUUUGAGAGGAUGAUCAGCCACACUGGGACGGAGACACGGCCCAGACUCGUGCGGGAGGCAGCAGUGGGGAGUAUUGGACAAUGGGCGCAAGCCUGAUCCAGCCAUGCCGCUUGAGUGAUGAAGGCCCUAGGGUUGUAAAGCUCUUUCACCGGUGAAGAUAAUGACGGUAACCGGAGAAGAAGCCCCGGCUAACUUCGUGCCAGCCGCCGCGGUAAGAC
rnacentral:rRNA from 1 species